GUAUUGCUUCGGCAAUACAUAUACUAAAAUUGGUAAGAUACAGAGAAGAUUAGCAUGGCCCCUGUUCAAGGAUGACAUGCAAAUUUGUGAAGCAUUCCAUAUUUUC